rnacentral:rRNA from 1 species
UACGGGGGGGGAUAGCGUUGUUCGGAAUUACUGGGCGUAAAGGGCUCGUAGGCGGCCAACUAAGUCGGACGUGAAAUCCCUCAGCUUAACUGGGGAACUGCGUCCGAUACUGGAUGGCUUGGAUUUGGGAGAGGGAUGCGGAAUUCCAGGUGUAGCGGUGAAAUGCGUAGAUAUCUGGAGGAACACCGGUGGCGAAGGCGGCAUCCUGGACCAAUAUUGACGCUGAGGAGCGAAAGCCAGGGGAGCAAACGGG